rnacentral:rRNA from 1 species
GAUGAACGCUGGCGGCGUGCCUAAUACAUGCAAGUCGAGCGAACAGACGAGGAGCUUGCUCCUCUGACGUUAGCGGCGGACGGGUGAGUAACACGUGGAUAACCUACCUAUAAGACUGGGAUAACUUCGGGAAACCGGAGCUAAUACCGGAUAAUAUAUUGAACCGCAUGGUUCAAUAGUGAAAGACGGUUUUGCUGUCACUUAUAGAUGGAUCCGCGCCGCAUUAGCUAGUUGGUAAGGUAACGGCUUACCAAGGCAACGAUGCGUAGCCGACCUGAGAGGGUGAUCGGCCACACUGGAACUGAGACACGGUCCAGACUCCUACGGGAGGCAGCAGUAGGGAAUCUUCCGCAAUGGGCGAAAGCUUGACGGAGCAACGCCGCGUGAGUGAUGAAUGUCUUCGGAUCGUAAAACUCUGUUAUUAGGGAAGAACAAAUGUGUAAGUAACUAUGCACGUCUUGACGGUACCUAAUCAGAAAGCCACGGCUAACUACGUG